rnacentral:lncRNA from 1 species
CGCGGGUCUCCAGAGCCUGAGCUAGUCAGAAGCAACAGUUGCUACUGCGUCCCCCGGACAUUGGGAGAAUCGUUUUCCUUGGGCAGCUGGUUCCAGACCCCCACCAGUCCUCUAGACUCCAGGCCAAUCAGUUGCUAAGGGACGUUCCUCUCUCAACCUGCACUUAUCAACAUUUUAAGCUAUAAAUUCGUCUGCAUUUCUUCAUCGUCUGUCUAUGUAGACCAUGACUCCACGGAGGCAGGGGUCUGGAGUGCAGUGGCAUGAACAUGGCUCACUGCAGCCUCGACUUUCCAGGCUCAAGUGAUCCUCCCACCUCAGCCUCCAGAGUAGCUGGGACUAUAAGCACAAGCCACCAGGUCCAGCUAAUGAAAAAAUUUUUUUUGUAGAGACAGAGUCUCACUAUGUUACCCAGGCUGGUCUCGAACUCCUGGGCUCAAGCAGUCUUCUCACCUCAGCCUCCCAAAGUGCUGGGAUUGCAGCCGUGAACCAACACACUCAGCCUGGGACCACUCUUGACCACCCCUAAUCCCUUCCCAGAGUUCUGGAACCAGCCCUGUCCUUUCCUAUUCCAUAUUUCGGCAUGUUUUAACAGACCUCUCUGAGUGGUCUGUGCUCCCAACCCUUAGCCUCCAGACUGAUUGCCCUUUUUCCUUCUCACAUAAAAAAGAUAUCGCCCAAGUUUCCAGGUCGUUAAAUGCCUCUCUCAUUCACGCCACAUAUCCACUUUCUUUUUGCAUUGUCAAUUUUUUUUUCCUUCCCCUUUCUUCUGUUUAAAAGCCCAUGUUAGAUGGUCGGAAUGAGCCUUGUCUAGGUCCUGGGCCAGGAUUUGCCAGUAAAGCACUGAAUAACUGUGGUCAAGUAUUUUCCCUCUUCUUAUUUCCUCAUGUGUAACAUGAGUGGGUUUUACUGCUGGAGAUGUAAUGAUCCAUUUAAGUACAAAAUUCUGAUUUCUUCUUUCUUCUCUCCAUCAGUUUUAGAGCAUACAUGUGAUGACUCGUCAUGCACCCAUUAUAUUUUCUUUUUCUUUUCUUUUCUUUUUUUUUUUUUGAGACAGAGUCUCGCUGUGUUGCCCAGGCUGGAGUGCAGUGGCACGAUCUUGGCUCACUGCAACCUCUGCCUACGGGGUUCAAGUGAUUCUCCUGCCUCAGCCUCCCGAGUAGCUGGGACUACAGGCACGGGCCACGAUGCCCAUCUAAUUUUUGUAUUUUUGGAAGAGACGGGGUUUCACCAUGUUGGCCAGGCUGGUCUUGAACUCCUGACCUCAAGUGAUCCCCGGCCUCAGCCUCCCAAAGUGCUGGGAUUACAGACGUGAGCCACUGCGCCCAGCCUAUUUUCCUUGACCACCAUGUCUCUCAAUUUUCCUUCACCAUCAUGUCUCUCAAUUUUCCUUCUGUCUCUUGUUCCAAAGGGCUCAGGAUAUUCUCUGUUCUCAGCACACUUCCAUCUGUGUAUUUCCUUAGCAGGGUGUGAGUGAUGCAAAGGUGUUCGGCUUUCUAAGGGAAGGGCUGACUUACUAAUGACUGACCUAUUUAUGGUGAGGAAAACGAUUUUCUAGGGAAAGCCAGGAUAACUAACAAUGAAACUGAUAGACACACAUGGGAUAACUGUGUGAGUAAUGACUGGGUGCCUUGCAGGGGUGUAACUUACCAAGAGACCGACUUAGCGGGAGCCUAACUAACCAAUGAACAGGGCAGGUUCU